rnacentral:rRNA from 1 species
AGACAUGCGCGGCUUACACAUGCAAGUCGAGGGGUAUAGGUUUUCGGACCUAGAGACCGGCGCACGGGUGCGUAACGCGUAUGCAAUCUACCUUUCACAGAGGGAUAGCCCAGAGAAAUUUGGAUUAAUACCUCAUAGUAUUAUAGGAUGGCAUCAUUUUAUAAUUAAAGUCACAACGGUGAAAGAUGAGCAUGCGUCCCAUUAGUUAGUUGGUAAGGUAACGGCUUACCAAGACUACGAUGGGUAGGGGUCCUGAGAGGGAGAUCCCCCACACUGGUACUGAGACACGGACCAGACUCCUACGGGAGGCAGCAGUGAGGAAUAUUGGACAAUGGAGGCAACUCUGAUCCAGCCAUGCCGCGUGCAGGAUGACGGUCCUAUGGAUUGUAAACUGCUUUUAUACAGGAAGAAACACUUGCUCGUGAGCAAGCUUGACGGUACUGUAAGAAUAAGGAUCGGCUAACUCCGUGCCAGCAGCCGCGGUAAUACGGAGGAUCCAAGCGUUAUCCGGAAUCAUUGGGUUUAAAGGGUCCGUAGGCGGUUUAGUAAGUCAGUGGUGAAAGCCCAUCGCUCAACGGUGGAACGGCCAUUGAUACUGCUAGACUUGAAUUAUUAGGAAGUAACUAGAAUAUGUAGUGUAGCGGUGAAAUGCUUAGAGAUUACAUGGAAUACCAAUUGCGAAGGCAGGUUACUACU